CUGAAGGGAUCGGUCUUGAAAACCGACAGGGCCUUAACGGGCCGCGGGGGUUCGAAUCCCUCUUCCUCCGCCAU
rnacentral:tRNA from 1 species